rnacentral:tRNA from 1 species
AGGGAUUUAGCUUAGCGGCAUAAGCACCUGCCUUGUAAGCAGGUGGUCGUGAUCCCUG